UCACUGAAGGAUCGGUCCGUCCCUGAUUAGCUUGUUGGUGAGGUAACGGCUCACCAAGGCGACGAUCAGUAGCUGGUCUGAGAGGAUGGUCAGCAACACUGGGACUGAGAUACGGCCCAGACUCCCACGGGAGGCAGCAGUCUAGAAGCUUCCACAAUGGACGAAAGUCUGAUGGAGCGACGCCGCGUGCGGGAUGAAGCCCUUGCGGGUGUAAACCGCUGUCAGCAGGGAAGAAUGCCCUGAUGGUGAAUCAGGGAGAGACGGUACCUGCAGAGGAAGCACCGGCUAAUUCCGUGCCAGCAGCCGCGGUAAUACGGAAGGUGCAAACGUUGCUCGGAAUUACUGGGCGUAAAGGGUGCGUAGGCGGUUUGAUAAGUCUAACGUGAAAUCCCACGGCUCAACCGUGGAACUGCGCUGGAAACUGUUGAACUUGAGGAUGGGAGGGGCAAGUGGAAUUCCUGGUGUAGCGGUGGAAUGUGUAGAGAUCAGGAAGAACACUCGUGGCGAAGGCGGCUUGCUGGCCCAUUUCUGACGCUGAGGCACGAAAGCCAGGGGAGCGAACGGGAUUAGAUACCCCGGUAGUCCUGGCCGUAAACGGUGGAUACUAGGUGUCGGGGGUAUCGGCCCCCUCGGUGCCGACGCAAACGCAUUAAGUAUCCCGCCUGGGGAGUACGACCGCAAGGUUGAAACUCAAAGGAAUUGACGGGGGCCCGCACAAGCGGUGGAGGAUGUGGUUUAAUUCGACGCAACGCGCAGAACCUUACCUGGGCUUAAACCGCAGGGUAAACCCCCUGAAAGGGGGGCUGCUUCGGCAAUCCUGUACAGGUGCUGCAUGGCCGUCGUCAGCUCGUGUCGUGAGAUGUUGGGUUAAGUCCCGCAACGAGCGCAACCCUUACUCUUAGUUACCAGCAUUUCGGAUGGGGACUCUAGGAGGACUGCCGUCGUAAGGCGGAGGAAGGUGGGGAUGACGUCAGGUCAGCAUGGCCCUUAUGUCCAGGGCUACACACGUCCUACAAUGGCGAGUACAACGGGCAGCUAGCUCGCGAGAGUCAGCAAAUCCCUUAAAGCUCGUCCCAGUUCAGAUUGCAGUCUGCAACCCGACUGCAUGAAGGCGGAAUCGCUAGUAAUCGCGGAUCAGCAUGCCGCGGUGAAUACGUUCCCGGGCCUUGUACACACCGCCCGUCACAUCACGAAAGUCGGCGGUACCAGAAGUCGCUGAGCUAACCCGCAAGGGAGGCAGGUGC
rnacentral:rRNA from 1 species